AGGGAUGUGGCGCAGCUUGGUAGCGCGUUUGUUUUGGGUGCAAAAUGUCACGGGUUCAAAUCCUGUCAUCCCUA
rnacentral:tRNA from 2 species